AACCAUGACCAGUACGGCGAGUGAGCGGCACAGCUCAAUUUGAAAUCUGGCCCCCAGGGCCCGAGUUGUAAUUUGCAGAGGAUGCUUUUGGCGCGGUGCCUUCCGAGUUCCCUGGAACGGGACGCCAUAGAGGGUGAGAGCCCCGUCUGGUCGGACGCCUAGCCUGUGUAAAGCUCCUUCGACGAGUCGAGUAGUUUGGGAAUGCUGCUCUAAAUGGGAGGUAUAUGUCUUCUAAAGCUAAAUACCGGCCAGAGACCGAUAGCGCACAAGUAGAGUGAUCGAAAGAUGAAAAGCACUUUGAAAAGAGGGUUAAAUAGUACGUGAAAUUGUUGAAAGGGAAGCGCUUGUGACCAGACUUGGGCCCGGUGGAUCAUCCAGCGUUCUCGCUGGUGCACUCCGCCGGGUUCAGGCCAGCAUCAGUUCGCCGCGGGGGAAAAAGGCUUCGGGAACGUGGCUCCUACGGGAGUGUUAUAGCCCGUUGCAUAAUACCCUGGGGCGGACUGAGGUUCGCGCUCCGCAAGGAUGCUGGCGUAAUGGUCAUCAGCGACCCGUCUUGGACAAACAGACACA
rnacentral:rRNA from 1 species